UACGUAGGGGGCGAGCGUUGUCCGGAUUCAUUGGGCGUAAAGCGCGCGCAGGCGGCCGCGAGAGCCCGGCGUGAAAGCCCCCGGCUCAACCGGGGGAGGCCGUCGGGGACCUCGGGGCUGGAGGCCGGUAGGGGCGAGCGGAAUUCCCGGUGUAGUGGUGGAAUGCGUAGAGAUCGGGAGGAACACCGGUGGCGGAGGCGGCUACCUGGACCGGUUCUGACGCUGAGGCGCGAAAGCGUGGGUAGCAAACAGG
rnacentral:rRNA from 1 species